rnacentral:rRNA from 1 species
UACGUAGGGUGCAAGCGGUAAUCGGAAUUACUGGGCGUAAAGCGUGCGCAGGCGGUUUUGUAAGUCUGAUGUGAAAUCCCCGGGCUCAACCUGGGAAUUGCAUUGGAGACUGCAAGGCUAGAAUCUGGCAGAGGGGGGUAGAAUUCCACGUGUAGCAGUGAAAUGCGUAGAGAUGUGGAGGAACACCGAUGGAGAAGGCAGCCCCCUGGGUCAAGAUUGACGCUCAUGCACGAAAGCGUGGGGAGCAAACAGG